rnacentral:rRNA from 1 species
GCUGGCGGCAGGCUUAACACAUGCAAGUCGAGCGGGCGCUUUCGGGCGUCAGCGGCGGACGGGUUAGUAACGCGUGGGAACGUGCCCUUUGCUCUGGAAUAGCCCUGGGAAACUGGGGGUAAUACCGGAUGUGCCCUGAGGGGGAAAGAUUUAUCGGCAAGGGAUCGGCCCGCGUCUGAUUAGGUAGUUGGUGUGGUAACGGCGCACCAAGCCGACGAUCGGUAGCUGGUUUGAGAGGAUGAUCAGCAACACUGGGACUGAGACACGGCCCAGACUCCUACGGGAGGCAGCAGUGGGGAAUCUUAGACAAUGGGCGCAAGCCUGAUCUAGCCAUGCCGCGUGGGUGAUGAAGGCCUUAGGGUCGUAAAGCCCUUUCGCCGGGGAAGAUAAUGACGGUACCCGGUAAAGAAACCCCGGCUA